CUACGGUGGGCAGCAGUGGGGAAUAUUGGACAAUGGGCGAAAGCCUGAUCCAGCCAUGCCGCGUGUGUGAAGAAGGCCUUCGGGUUGUAAAGCACUUUCAGUGGGGAAGAAAGCCUUGGGGCUAAUACCCUCGAGGAAGGACAUCACCCACAGAAGAAGCACCGGCUAACUCCGUGCCAGCAGCCGCGGUAAUACGGAGGGUGCGAGCGUUAAUCGGAAUUACUGGGCGUAAAGCGCGCGUAGGCGGUCUGAUAAGCCGGUUGUGAAAGCCCCGGGCUCAACCUGGGAACGGCAUCCGGAACUGUCAGGCUAGAGUGCAGGAGAGGAAGGUAGAAUUCCCGGUGUAGCGGUGAAAUGCGUAGAGAUCGAGAGGAAUACCAGUGGCGAAGGCGGCCUUCUGGACUGACACUGACGCUGAGGUGCGAAAGCGUGGGUAGCAAACAGGAUUAGAUACCCCGGUAGUC
rnacentral:rRNA from 1 species